AUUGAACGCUGGCGGCAGGCUUAACACAUGCAAGUCGAGCGGGGUGAUGGUGCUUGCACUAUCACUUAGCGGCGGACGGGUGAGUAAUGCUUAGGAAUCUGCCUAUUAGUGGGGGACAACAUCUCGAAAGGGAUGCUAAUACCGCAUACGUCCUACGGGAGAAAGCAGGGGAUCACUUGUGACCUUGCGCUAAUAGAUGAGCCUAAGUCGGAUUAGCUAGUUGGUGGGGUAAAGGCCUACCAAGGCGACGAUCUGUAGCGGGUCUGAGAGGAUGAUCCGCCAGACUGGGACUGAGACACGGCCCAGAAUCCUACGGGAGGCAGCAGUGGGGAAUAUUGGACAAUGGGGGGAACCCUGAUCCAGCCAUGCCGCGUGUGUGAAGAAGGCCUUAUGGUUGUAAAGCACUUUAAGCGAGGAGGAGGCUCUUUUGGUUAAUACCCAAGAUGAGUGGACGUUACUCGCAGAAUAAGCACCGGCUAACUCUGUGCCAGCCGCCGCCGUAA
rnacentral:rRNA from 1 species